GCUUCGUGGGUUCCGUUAAUACUUUCCGGCCUUGCACGGGCAGCAGUAGCAAUCAGUAGGAUGUCGUGAUUCUCGUGGCCAUGAACUUAAAGCUUUGUUAGUACAGUGAAUCUCCAAUCCUCUCCUCCAAGUGGAUGGACGACUUUCCAUUAGUGGCUGAGAAUGUUUCAUCGAGCCACUCAGUUGCAGUUGUGGAUGCUGAUAAAAUCAUUUCUUAAUACAGUAGUCUUACAUCAAAGCCAAUGCUAUACAAACAAGAAGAAGUCAUGAGCAGAAAGGGGACGUACAACAUUUUUUAGAGGUUGUCCUCCGAAGCCUAGCCUAAUGGUGGAAUUCAUCGUCAACAACAAUGCUAAUCCCCCUACGGCCAACUGAGAGAGUGAAAGCGGCUCAUUUGAUAAUUACAUCAUACAACCUUGAAAAGUAGUGGCCACUUAACUUCUUCAAGCUUCCAUGUCGAUUUAUUUACACAUUAGCGCAAGUUUAAUUCUUGCUUAACUGGGAUGGCUCAAAUCAACGGGCAAAUUACUGGGUUAGCAAUUUUCGGUUCUCAUCACCCUUGCCCAUUUGCAAUUUAUAACCUUUUCUUCUUCUUUUUUCAUGGGAUGCUGGUGCUGGUCUUGAUGAGAGUUGGCGGCGCCGCCGCCGCUUGCUUUGGACACGUAUCAUAUCCUUUCACAGGUUGUCAGAGCCGCAUAUCGUGCCUGACGUUAGAAUCUAUGAUAAGACGAGGGUGCGCGAUUCACCAUCGGUGGCUCUUGAACGCAGUCAAGAGACGCAGCAAGCAAAGAGCUGAUUGCUAUGCAUCUGUUUAACGAGUGUGCUCGUAACAUGUGGUUUUUCAAAUGUCAUAUAUUUGGAAAGAUAAAUUUAAUUAGAAAAAAAAAUAUAAAUAUAAAACAAA